GACGAACGCUAGCGGCGUGCUUAACACAUGCAAGUCGAACGGUGAAGCGCGUUUCUCUUCGUUUGGAGUGGAUGCGUGGCUAAGUGAUGCGUAACACGUGAGUAACCUGCACCCUUCUACUGGAUAACAGCAUGAAUGAGUGGCUAAUACGGGCUAUUCUGAGUCUUUCGCAUGAUGGGUCUGGUUAUGGUAUUGAUUCGGUCGUGGGUGGGGUGGCGGCGUUUCAGGUUGUAGGUGGGGCGAUGGCCUACCAAGGCGGGGACGGGUAGCCGGCCUGAGAGGGAGGACGGCCCCACUGGGACUGAGACACGGCCCAGACUCCUACGGGCGGCAGCAGGGGGGAAGAGAUCACAGUGGGUGCAGGCAUGAUGCAGCGACGCCGCGGGAGGGAUGGAGGCCUUCGGGUUGUGAACCUCUUUCGUUAGUGAAGCAGGCCAGCCUUGUUUGUGGGUGGGUUGACGGUAGCUGGAUAAGAAGCGCCGGCGAACUACGUG
rnacentral:rRNA from 1 species